rnacentral:lncRNA from 1 species
GAGGGGGAGGGGGAGCUUAAAACUUCGAAUUUGACUCACCCGCUCACCCUUAUGGAAGAAAUGAGUAUAUAUGCAUUAUACAUAGACACACUGCGCAUCCAUAAUCUAUGACUGGUUUUUGUUUACUUAACGUUGAAUUAUCUUAGUAUUGAUGCGGUACUUUGAUUGAGAAUUGAUAUUGUUUUGGAUCAGUGCACUACUGCUGUACUGCAUUUGCCUAUAAGCUUAGACUAUUGCAGUACUUAAGUAGACAUUGGAAGUGCUUGUGUAUUAUAUAGAUAAAAAUGUUAGGCCAAGUACUUGCCCGAGCUAUUUUGUGUCUUCUUUGUGGCUCAUGAUUUCCUUUGGGUAUCUGAUGAGGAGGAAUUGAAGGUCACAACCUGCUGAUGGAUAAAAGAGAGACUAGUCAAUCUUUCGUUUCCCUUGAAUUGUAAUUUUUUUUAUGGCAAUGGUCACGUAAUACUGAUACAUAUUUGCAUAUGUUGAUAUAAACAUUAUUAGUCAGGAAAACAUUGAGCGGAGAAAUGUUAUAGAGAGAAGGAGUAAUUACUAUGUCCUUGUGGACUUACCUCCAGCUUGAGUUCAAGUUUGGUUUUGUUAGACCUUCACUUAGUUCUUAAAAAUAUGAAUACCGCCAAAUUGUUUUCAUUUUUUACUGCUACAUAGGUGUUGAGGCAGAGGGAAGAGUAUGUCCUGAAAUUUUCAGUUAUACAUUUUUAAAGAAAAAGAACCUGCUUACUUAAAUACGAUAGUCUAUGACUUAUUGGUCAUCUUGAUUCUUAAUUAUGCAAUUUACUCUUUACGUGCAUCAAAAACUAAGAAAGGAGAAUGAAGAAAGCCUUGGUCACAUUUCAUGGACGUGAUUUCUAUUUUUAUCUCACCAGAUGUCUUCAAUUUUCAGACAUUCCCAAGUCAGCCCUUUCCUGCAUCUUAUUGUAGGGGAAAAGCAAAAAAAAAAAAAAAAAAAAAAUCAUUCCCAAGUCAGCGCUUUUCUGCAUCUUAUUGCAGGGGAAAAAGCAAAAAAACAAGUUUAGGUUAAUUCCUUCUGAGAAGAUGGUUGGUUUUCCAGGAUACGGUGCCCUUGUCCCCAAGACUAAGAAUCUGGUUAUGGCUGGAGGUUUGUCAGCAUUUGUUUUUGGUGUGUAUUACUAUACUAUGAGAGCUGUUGGAGGCUCAGAUGAACUUCAGGUAGCCAUUGAUAAGUUUGAAGAGGCAAAACACAACAGUGAGUCUGAAGCAAGUUUGGCACCCAAGUCCUGAUUGUGUCCAAUAUGAAGGUAAUGUAGCAAUUAGGAAUAAGUGUUGGAUGUUUGUGAAACAGGACUUCGAUCAUCUUACGCUUGUUGAAUUACUUCUCAUGAUUUCUGGAUAUAUAUACUUUGCUGUAAAGAUAUUAACAUACUGUUUCUUUUCAAACCUGAUAGUGUCCAAUAUGAAGGUAAUUUAGCAAAUAGGAAAAAGCGUUGGAUGAUUGUGAAAGAGUAGAACAGGACUUAAAUAAUGUUACGCUUGUUUGAAUAACUUCUCCUGUUUCUUAUGCUUUCCAGAUAUAUACUUUGCUGUAAAGAUAUCAAAAUACUGUAUUUCUUUUCAAGGUUUCUCGUUAUGAUGAAUUUUAUUUCUCAAAUUUCGUCAUCUUCAGACUACAUUCAGCAUGUUUAUUUUAUUUCCUUAUCACAAGGACACCAAUUAUCAUCUCUUUGGAAUGGGAAUUAAGGGGGAUUUGAACCCUAUUUUUCUGUAGCAAAGGCCCUAGUUAAUU